rnacentral:rRNA from 1 species
GAUGAACGCUGGCGGCGUGCUUAACACAUGCAAGUCGAACGAAGCACUUGGAUCUCUUCGGAGUGAUGAGUGACUGAGUGGCGGACGGGUGAGUAACGCGUGGGUAACCUGCCUCGUACAGGGGGACAACAGUUGGAAACGACUGCUAAUACCGCAUAAGCGCACAGUAUCGCAUGAUACAGUGUGAAAAGCUGAGGCGGUACGAGAUGGACCCGCGUUGGAUUAGCUAGUUGGUGGGGUAACGGCCUACCAAGGCGACGAUCCAUAGCCGACCUGAGAGGGUGACCGGCCACAUUGGGACUGAGACACGGCCCAAACUCCUGCGGGAGGCAGCAGUGGGGAAUAUUGCACAAUGGGCGAAAGCCUGAUGCAGCGACGCCGCGUGAGCGAUGAAGUAUUUCGGUAUGUAAAGCUCUAUCAGCAGGGAAGAAAAUGACGGUACCUGACUAAGAAGCUCCGGCUAAAUACGUGCCAGCCGCCGCGGUAAAAC